rnacentral:rRNA from 1 species
CAGCCGCCGCGGUAAUACGAAGGGUGCAAGCGUUAAUCGGAAUUACUGGGCGUAAAGCGUGCGCAGGCGGUUAUGUAAGACAGUUGUGAAAUCCCCGGGCUCAACCUGGGAACUGCAUCUGUGACUGCAUAGCUAGAGUACGGUAGAGGGGGAUGGAAUUCCGCGUGUAGCAGUGAAAUGCGUAGAUAUGCGGAGGAACACCGAUGGCGAAGGCAAUCCCCUGGACCUGUACUGACGCUCAUGCACGAAAGCGUGGGGAGCAAACAGGAUUAGAUACCCGUGUAGUCCCUGUCUCUUAUAC